rnacentral:lncRNA from 1 species
AUGAGAUGUAUGGUGGAUUCGUUGAAAAAGUAUGAAACUCGGUCUGAAGCGAAUAUAUGAUCAGUCUUGGAUACAUCUUAUCGUGUAGUUCCAGGAAGAUUUCCAGGUUGAAGGGGGCCGUUUAACUGAUGGUAAAACUGGGCAGUGACAUGAGAUGUACGGUGGAUUCGUUUAAGAGGCGGUAGUCUUGGAUAUAUCCUUAUGGUAUAGUUCCAGGAAGAUUUCCAGGUUGAAGGGGGCCGUUUAACUGAUGGUAAAACUGGGCAGUGAUAUGAGAUGUAUGGUGGAUUCGUUGAAAAAGUAUGAAACUCGGUCUGAAGCGAAUAUA